CAUUGGUGGAGUACCUACCUUACCCUGAUGGGGGUAUAUGCAUGGGACUAUUGCCUCAUAAUCCUCUGACGAUCCACCGCACACCAUCCGUUUAUACCACGUGCUAGAACACUUGUCAUAUGUAACUGAUGGAAUCUUGCGCGGAUGCACACGUAGUCCAUUAUGUGACAGCGGAAAAUUCGGUGGAGCAGCAUUUGGUUGCCUGGUUCAUACAAUACAAUACAAUACAAG
rnacentral:lncRNA from 1 species